rnacentral:rRNA from 1 species
AGUGAACGCUGGCGGUAGGCCUAACACAUGCAAGUCGAACGGCAGCACAGUAAGAGUUGCUCUUACGGGUGGCGAGUGGCGGACGGGUGAGGAAUACAUCGGAAUCUACUUUUUCGUGGGGGAUAACGUAGGGAAACUUACGCUAAUACCGCAUACGACCUACGGGUGAAAGCAGGGGAUCUUCGGACCUUGCGCGAUUGAAUGAGCCGAUGUCGGAUUAGCUAGUUGGCGGGGUAAAGGCCCACCAAGGCGACGAUCCGUAGCUGGUCUGAGAGGAUGAUCAGCCACACUGGAACUGAGACACGGUCCAGACUCCUACGGGAGGCGGCAGUGGGGAAUAUUGGACAAUGGGCGCAAGCCUGAUCCAGCCAUACCGCGUGGGUGAAGAAGGCCUUCGGGUUGUAAAGCCCUUUUGUUGGGAAAGAAAAGCAGCAGGUUAAUACCCCGCUGUUCUGACGGUACCCAAAGAAUAAGCACCGGCUAACUUCGUG